UACGUAGGGUGCAAGCGUUGUCCGGAAUUAUUGGGCGUAAAGAGCUCGUAGGCGGUCUGUCGCGUCGAAUGUGAAAACCCGGGGCUCAACCCCGGGCCUGCAUUCGAUACGGGCAGACUAGAGUUCGGUAGGGGAGUCUGGAAUUCCUGGUGUAGCGGUGAAAUGCGCAGAGUAUCAGGAGGAACACCGGUGGCGAAGGCGGGACUCUGGGCCGAUACUGACGCUGAGGAGCGAAAGCGUGGGGAGCAAACAGG
rnacentral:rRNA from 1 species